rnacentral:tRNA from 1 species
GCCCUUGUAGUAUAAUUAUUAUACUGGUCUUGUAAACCAGAGAUGGAGACUCAUAUCUCCCAAAGACA